rnacentral:ncRNA from 1 species
AGUGUAGAACUUUGCGCGUUAAGUGCCGAUGGAACGGGGGGUGUCCACGGACGAAAAGCAGAAUACUGCUUGCGGUGCAAUUUUCGCUCCCGCU